rnacentral:rRNA from 1 species
CCCAGACUCCUACGGGAGGCAGCAGUGGGGAAUAUUGCACAAUGGGGGAAACCCUGAUGCAGCGACGCCGCGUGAGCGAAGAAGUAUUUCGGUAUGUAAAGCUCUAUCAGCAGGGAAGAAAAAAAUGACGGUACCUGAGUAAGAAGCACCGGCUAAAUACGUGCCAGCAGCCGCGGUAAUACGUAUGGUGCAAGCGUUAUCCGGAUUUACUGGGUGUAAAGGGAGCGUAGACGGCGAUGCAAGUCUGAAGUGAAAGGCGGGGGCCCAACCCCCGGACUGCUUUGGAAACUGUAUGGCUGGAGUGCAGGAGAGGUAAGUGGAAUUCCUAGUGUAGCGGUGAAAUGCGUAGAUAUUAGGAGGAACACCAGUGGCGAAGGCGGCUUACUGGACUGUAACUGACGUUGAGGCUCGAAAGCGUGGGGAGCAAACAGGAUUAGAUACCCCCGUAA